rnacentral:rRNA from 1 species
AACGAACGCUGGCGGCAGGCUUAACACAUGCAAGUCGAGCGCCCCGCAAGGGGAGCGGCAGACGGGGGAGUAACGCGUGGGAAUCUACCCAUCUCUACGGAAUAACGCAUGGAAACGUGUGCUAAUACCGUAUACGUCCUUCGGGAGAAAGAUUUAUCGGAGAUGGAUGAGCCCGCGUUGGAUUAGCUAGUUGGUGGGGUAAAGGCCUACCAAGGCGACGAUCCAUAGCUGGUCUGAGGGGAUGAUCAGCCACACUGGGACUGAGACACGGCCCAGACUCCUACGGGAGGCAGCAGUGGGGAAUAUUGGACAAUGGGCGCAAGCCUGAUCCAGCCAUGCCGCGUGAGUGAUGAAGGCCCUAGGGUUGUAAAGCUCUUUCACCGGUGAAGAUAAUGACGGUAACCGGAGAAGAAGCCCCGGCUAACUUCGUGCCAGCCGCCGCGGUAAGAC